GCAGGGGUGGUUCAGUGGUAGAAUUCUCGCCUUCUAUGUGGGAGACCGGAGUUCAAUUACUGUCCAAUGCA
rnacentral:tRNA from 1 species